rnacentral:rRNA from 1 species
UAUGACGUACUUGUACUGAUUGAGAUUUUAACACGAAGUGAGUGGCGAACGGGUGAGUAACACGUGGGUAACCUGCCCAGAAGUAGGGGAUAACACCUGGAAACAGAUGCUAGUACCGUAUAACAGAGAAAACCGCAUGGUUUUCUUUUAAUAAUGGCUCUGCUAUCACUUCUGGAUGGACCCGCGGCGUAUUAGCUAGUUGGUGAGGUAAAGGCUCACCAAGGCAGUGAUACGUACCCGACCUGAGAGGGUAAUCGGCCACAUUGGGACUGAGACACUGCCCAAACUCCUACGGGAGGCAGCAGUAGGGAAUCUUCCACAAUGGACGCAAGUCUGAUGGAGCAACGCCCUGUGAGUGAAGAAGGGUUUCGGCUCGUAAAGCUCUGUUGUUAAAGAAGAACGUGGGUAAAAGUACCUGUUUACCCAGUGACGGUAUUUAACCAGAAAGCCACGGCUAACUACGUGCCAUCAGCCGCGGUAAUACGUAGGUGGCCAGCGUUAUCCGGAUUUAUUGGGUGUAAAGCCAGCGCAGGCGGUCUUUUAAGUCUAAUGUGAAAGCCUUCGGCUCAACCGAAGAAGUGCAUUGUAAAACUGGGAGACUUGAGUGCAGAAAAGGACAGUGGAAUUCCAUGUGU